rnacentral:rRNA from 1 species
UGGGGAAUUUUGGACAAUGGGGGAAACCCUGAUCCAGCCAUCCCGCGUGUGCGAUGAAGGCCUUCGGGUUGUAAAGCACUUUUGGCAGGAAAGAAACGUCGCGGGUUAAUACCCCGCGAAACUGACGGUACCUGCAGAAUAAGCACCGGCUAACUACGUGCCAGCAGCCGCGGUAAUACGUAGGGUGCAAGCGUUAAUCGGAAGUUACUGGGCGUAAAGCGUGCGCAGGCGGUUCGGAAAGAAAGAUGUGAAAUCCCAGAGCUUAACUUUGGAACUGCAUUUUUAACUACCGGGCUAGAGUGUGUCAGAGGGAGGUGGAAUUCCGCGUGUAGCAGUGAAAUGCGUAGNUAUGCGGAGGAACACCGAUGGCGAAGGCAGCCUCCUGGGAUAACACUGACGCUCAUGCACGAAAGCGUGGGGAGCAAACAGGAUUAGAUACCCUGGUAGUCCACGCCCUAAACGAUGUCAACUAGCUGUUGGGGCCUUCGGGCCUUGGUAGCGCAGCUAACGCGUGAAGUUGACCGCCUGGGGAGUACGGUCGCAAGAUUAAAACUCAAAUGAAUUGACGGGGUCGAU